rnacentral:rRNA from 1 species
GACGAACGCUGGCGGCGUGCUUAACACAUGCAAGUCGAACGGUGAAGCGCCUUCCUUUUUGGUGGGUGUGGAUGAGUGGCGAACGGGUGAGUAACACGUGAGUAACCUGCCCCCUUCUUCUGGAUAACCGCAUGAAAGUGUGGCUAAUACGGGAUAUUCUGGGUCUGUCGCAUGAUGGGUCUGGGAAAGAUAUUGUUUCGGUGGGGGAUGGGCUCGCGGCCUAUCAGCUUGUUGGUGGGGUGAUGGCCUACCAAGGCGGUGACGGGUAGCCGGCCUGGGAGGGUGGACGAUCACACUGGGACUGAGACACGGCCCAGACUCCUACGGGAGGCAGCAGUGGGGAAUAUUGCACAAUGGGCGCAAGCCUGAUGCAGCGACGCCGCGUGAGGGAUGGAGGCCUUCGGGUUGUGAACCUCUUUCGCCAGUGAAGCAGGCCUGCCUCGUUUGUGGGUGGGUUGACGGUAGCUGGAUAAGAAGCGCCGGCUAACUACGUG